rnacentral:rRNA from 1 species
AGCGAACGCUGGCGGCAGGCUUAACACAUGCAAGUCGAGCGGGCGUAGCAAUACGUCAGCGGCAGACGGGUGAGUAACGCGUGGGAACGUACCUUUUGGUUCGGAACAACACAGGGAAACUUGUGCUAAUACCGGAUAAGCCCUUACGGGGAAAGAUUUAUCGCCGAAAGAUCGGCCCGCGUCUGAUUAGCUAGUUGGUGAGGUAACGGCUCACCAAGGCGACGAUCAGUAGCUGGUCUGAGAGGAUGAUCAGCCACAUUGGGACUGAGACACGGCCCAAACUCCUACGGGAGGCAGCAGUGGGGAAUAUUGGACAAUGGGGGCAACCCUGAUCCAGCCAUGCCGCGUGGGUGAUGAAGGCCCUAGGGUUGUAAAGCUCUUUUGUGCGGGAAGAUAAUGACGGUACCGCAAGAAUAAGCCCCGGCUAACUUCGUG